GAUGAACGCUGGCGGCGUGCCUAAUACAUGCAAGUCGAGCGAACAGAUGAGGAGCUUGCUCCCCUGACGUUAGCGCCGGACGGGUGAGUAACACGUGGAUAACCUCCCUAUAAGACUGGGAUUACUUCGGGAAACCGGAGCUAAUACCGGAUAAUAUAUUGAACCGCAUGGUUCAAUAGUGAAAGACGGGUUUGCUGGCACUUAUCGAUGGAUCCGCGCCGCCUGAGCUAGUUGGUAAGGUAACGGCUUACCAAGGCAACGAUGCUUAGCCGACAUCAGAGCGUGAACGGCCAGACUGGAAGUGAGACUCGGCCCACACUCUUGCGGGAGGCAGCAGUAGGGAAUCUUCCGCAAGGGGGGAGAGCCUGACAGAGCAACGCCGCGUGAGGGCUGAAGGUCUUCUGAUCGUAGAACUCUGUUAUUAGUGAAGAACAAAUGUGUAAGCAACGAUGCACGUCAUGACGGUACCUGAACAGGAAGCCACGGCUAACUACGUG
rnacentral:rRNA from 1 species